AGUGAACGCUGGCGGUAGGCCUAACACAUGCAAGUCGCACGGCAGCACAGUAAGAGCUUGCUCUUACGGGUGGCGAGUGGCGGUCGGGUGCGGAAUACAUCGGAAUCUCCUUUUUCGGGGGGCAGAACGUAGGCCGACUUACCCUAAUACCGCAUACGACCUCCGGGUGAAAGCAGGAGAUCUUCGGCCCUUGCUCGAUUGAAUGAGCCGAUGACGGAUGAGCUAGUUGGCGGGGUAACGGCCCACCAAGGCGACGAUCCGUAGCUCGUCUGAGAGGAUGAUCGGCCACACUGGAAGUGAGACACGGUCCAGACUCCGACGGGGGGCAGCAGUGGGGAAUAUUGGACAAGGGGCGAGAGCCGGAUCCAGGCAUACCGCGUGGGUGAAGAAGGACUUCGGGUUGGAGAGCCCUUUUGUUGGGAAAGAAAAGAAGCGGGUUAAUGCCCCGCGGUUCUGACGGUACCCAAAGAAUAAGCACCGGCUAACUUCGUG
rnacentral:rRNA from 1 species